rnacentral:rRNA from 1 species
UACGAAGGGGGCUAGCGUUGCUCGGAAUCACUGGGCGUAAAGGGUGCGUAGGCGGGGCUUUAAGUCAGGGGUGAAAUCCUGGAGCUCAACUCCAGAACUGCCUUUGAUACUGAGGAUCUUGAGUUCGGGAGAGGUGAGUGGAACUGCGAGUGUAGAGGUGAAAUUCGUAGAUAUUCGCACGAACACCAGUGGCGAAGGCGGCUCACUGGCCCGAUACUGACGCUGAGGCACGAAAGCGUGGGGAGCAAACAGG